rnacentral:lncRNA from 1 species
UUUAAGAGAGGAUUGCAAGAAAAUAAUAGCCUAAACUAGACAGGGUUGAGGACAAAGAAAGCGUAAACAACAAGGAGAAAUUCAGAUUUUACUAAUCGUCUUUUUGGUAUUUUCUUAAGCUUGAGAAAUUAGAAACUACAUAGGCAGACAUUCUGAACAAAGAGAAUUAACAAGACUAGAACACACAUACGUAUAUAUAACUAGUACGUACAAGACACAGGGAAGAAACAAGACUAUGGACAUAAUACAAUUGUUUCACAUCGCACUCAAACGCACAUAUUCAUAUAUCACAGGUACUUGAGCAACACAGUAACUAAAAUUGAACCAACACGACUACGCAACAAGUGUAGUACUCAAGUGACCAAUUUAACUAAUUAACUCAUACAAGAACAGGGAGUCACAUGCCCCAGAACAAUUCACAUAUGACAGAUUUAACACUACACAAGCACAAAUCUGAAACUGAACAAACAACUUAGUAGAACAGUACAAAAAUUUAGAGUACAGUAGCAAGAGAAGAGAGAGAUUCAGAGAUUAAUUCCCGGUUAAUCUUUAGGCUUGUAGCUGUAGAUGGUGUAGGUGAUGGAGAAGAUCAGCAGGGAGGCGAGUUGGAGACAAUCUGCAUCAAGAUUAGUAGAGGGAGAGAACAACAGCGGGGUAAGAGAAAGAAACAACAGUUUUGGUUCAGAGAAGAGCAAAAGCAGGAGGUGUGGGAGAGAAGAAGCAGCAGGAGUGUUGAGAAAGGAGCAGUAGCAGGUUCGUGGGGGAAGGAGCAGUAGCAAAAGGUUCAGAGAAGAGGCAGGGAGCAGCAAGGUAGGCGAAGGGAGCAGCAGCGGGGCUUGGAGAGAGGAGAAGGAGGAGCAGCAGGGGCGCAACAAGAAGAGCAGCGGGGAUGCGGGAAGAAGAAGUAGAAGGGCAGCAACAGAGUUAGGAGAAGAAGAAAGGUGGAGGAGCGGCAGGGAGAUGCAUGGGCGGCGGCGCGAGGUGAUGAGGCGGCGCUGUGGAUGGUGGUGAAUGGAGGCGCAGGGUGAUGGUGGAGGUGUUGGUGGCGCGCUGGGGUACGGUGGUGCUGGUGAUGGAUGGCGCAGAGGCGCACCACCACGCCAGCCUGGCCGUGGCGGCGGCCGGAGGUGAAGAAGAUUUGGUGAGGGGGAGAGAGAUGGAGAUGCCAGGCCCGGAGGGGAUCGAAGGAGAUGGCUAGGGAUUUUGACCCCUCGAUCUGAUUGUCCACUUUGCUCUUUGGCCCUUCUACUUAUCUUCCUCCUUCACAAGUUGAUCCUGCUCUUCUUUAGGCAGACCCUUGAAGCUUUAACAUUUAUCACACUCAAGUCCCUCUUCCUUCUCUUCUUUCAUAUGCUCAUCUCGAUAUCCACAUGGACGGAAUCUUGACGAUUAUAGUGCCUUAUCGCACUUGUCUGCAAAAGCAACAAGUCACAAGUAAAUGAUCUCUUUAAAUGAUUUUCGUUCACAUAUGCAACAGUUCAUAGCAAGGAUUGAUGGUCAGAUCACAAUAUAUAGUAUAUUUGAGUGCAAAAUUAUGUGUAUGAAAUGUGCUUAUCAAGUUCCCCCACACUUAAAUCUUUACUUGUCCUCAAGUAAAGGCAAAUGACAAGAGCUAGAUGGUGAACAGUGAGCUGACUAGAGAAUGUCCCAGUAAAGUAGAUCUCCAAACAUCGCAUGCUUUGGACUUAGCUAGUGAAAAUCAAUGGUUAAGAGUGCUACAAAGCAAUAGGAUACUAUUAGAUCAUUUUCAACUUUUACAAUGAUGCAAGAAGAUUAGCAAGUUCAAAUGCUGAUUAUGCCAAAGGUUCCUAAAGAGAACAUGAUCUUGAGAACAAAAGGAACUUGAAUUAAAUCUUGUGAUCAAAUCACUUAUUUACUGAAAUAAAGCAAUGAUUAUUUUUAUUACUCUCACCAUAGGAACAUACCACCGAUCCCAAGAACAUGGUAUACACCUGGCUCGACCAAUUAUUGGUAUUUUUUUAGUUUGUCUCCCCAAAGGAACAUACCACCGAUCCCGAGAACAUGGUAUACACCUGGUUCAACAAUUACAUUUUUUAAUAUAAUUAACUCCUAUCCGAUCAAACCAGAUUUCACAAGACACCGAUCCAGGGAACAUGACAUGCUACUGUUAGGUAGAUCAGAUAAUUAUACACUAUAAGAUAUGCCUAUUUUAAUGAACAAACACAAGAAUCAUCACUCAACUAGGUCUUGUUCACAUGCUACCGAUCCAGAGAACAUAGCAUGCUAAUCCAUAGUGGUAAGUGAUUGCUCUGAAUGGGAACACAUUAGGCACAAACUCAGCAUCUGACACUUAAUGAUCUAGGUGUAUCGAGGUAAAAGCAGAAAAUGAUUAAGUUUUCUAGUGUACUUGGGACUUGAGCACUCAAAACUAAUAGUUCUCACUAAUUUCAGCAAAGCACGCAAUAUGUAGAUCACUAGUUUACAUGGCAUUCAACAAUCGGUUCGCAUAUUCUCAUGAAGCACCAUAUGUCAAAUAAAAUUCAGUGGGGCAACAUUUAAGAAAUGGAUUAAUAAGCAACCCAAAUAACAUUUGAUUUCAGCAUGUAUAAAUGGAUGAUAUACUCGGAAUGGGUCAUGAAAUAGCUCACCGGGCUUUGAUGAUGUAGCACUCGCUUGAUCACUCUCUAAGCUGCAGCUCUUCUCCUUUUGCUUCCUCAUGGAUGCUCUAGCUUCACUCUUCUUCGUGUGUGCCCCCUUGCUUCUCCUCAUCCCCAUGCUCUGAGUCCACCAGGGUCCCAAGGAAUGUCACCUUGAACCUGGUCAACAUGUAUUGAUUCGUGCACAAGCAAAAAACUGAAAAGGCACUCAACCAAAGAGACAAUGCAAGUGGUAGGGAUAAUACCCUCCAAGUCAUCAAUCGAAUAUCCAAUUACAUAAGCAUAGCUAUAAAGCACAUGUUUUAGGAUGGUAGAAAUCAGCAAGGUCGACACUAACAUGAGGAUGAAAUUUAUCAUUAAGCUCAAGACUAGUAUGGGAAUAAUAUGUUUCAUUAAGCAUAGGACUAGCAUAAGGAAAAUAAGUGUCAUCAUCGGGAAUGAGAGCAAUGCCACCAAAAGUGUAUGUAUGAUCAUGUCCAAGCAAAUAAUUUUUCAAAUCUAGCUUAAUUGAUGGUAUAAUGCAAUGCAAAGUAACAACAAAGAUCUCAUAAGGAAGCAUGUCAUCAAGAGGAUUGGAUAAACCUGCUAAAUCACGCUCCUGUAGGACGAUGGGCAAAUGCAUUUCUGGUUCUUCAUCUUCAAUCACAUCAACUUCUUUUGCUUCUUCAAGAGUAAUAGAUGAUGAGUCUUCAACUUGAUCACUUUGUUGUUCGAGCUCUGGAUCAUCUUGUUCCUUGUCUUCAAGUAUUUCUUCUUCAAUCUGAGGUCUUUCUUCCUCUGGAUGCUUACUAUCUUGCUCAGCUGGAUGUGACGGUAUUGGAACCUCACAUGUAUCAAGGGGAAUCUCGGCAACACUCGGCUCAAGGAGGGAGGAGAUAGUACUACCAGCGUUGAUGUUCUUCUCAAUCUUCCUUACUUCUUCCACUAGCUCUUUUCCACUCUUGAUCUCCUUCAUUUCCUCUAGUAUCACCGGCCUCAUUGGAUCAUCUUCAACACUCCAAAUGAACUCGAGACUAAGCAAUGUGAGCUUGUCUAUAUCAUCAAAAUCAUCUUGUGUGGGCACUUGUGUUGAAGGUGUUGGUUGACCAAAUCGAGGACCAUUUAACUCCAUUGGCAACAUCUCCUGGUGUUGAGGUAUAUGAGUAGGAGGUGAAUCGCAUUGUUGUGGUGCAUAGUUGUUGCUCUCGUCAUUGUACCUAAAUCCCUGCAUUGGAUAACUAGAGGCAAAUGAUGAGAUCUCAGGGUUGUUGCUCCUAUAUGACAUAUUCUGGUUUUCAGGCACCCAUAUGAGUAAUUGUUUUGGUAUGAGCUAGGCUGUUGGGCGAAGCUCAUGCCAUAACAAUCGGGAGGGUGAGAGUAACCACGCUGACAUUCAGCGGGUGAAUGGCCCUGAAAUCCAAAAAUAUGGUAGGUAGGAGCAACAUAAGGAUAGCCUCUAGAAUAAGGAUCAUAAGAGCUAGGCCUAUCCUCAAAAACUAUUUCUCGCUACUGAGCUAAAUCAUCUAAUCGAUGGGAAAUCUUACUUAUCAAGUCUUGAAUACUUUCCGUGUUGUUUGUAGUGUUGCUCGACAAAAGCAUGAUAAUCUAAAUAGUAAGCCAUAUCUGAGAAGAUGCAAUAACCUGCAGAAUGACCAAGCAAAGAAAGAGAAAAUAACUUGAACAAGGGUUAGGGGUUAGAGAUAUAUCACAUAUAUCUAGCACAAAGGGAAAAACAAGAAAAACCUAGUCUAUAGCCUAACACGGUCGCACGACUCUAGUCCCCGGCAACGGCGCCAAAAUGAUCGAUGGUAAGUACAGUGGGUUUUUCAUGCCCAAACUGGGGAUGUCGUGUUCUCCUCAGGGACCAGGCAAUGGCAACGAUGCUCAGCUAAAGCUAGGUGACAGAAUUUUAAGAGAGGAUUGCAAGAAAAUAAUAGCCUAAACUAGACAGGGUUGAGGACAAAGAAAGCGUAAACAACAAGGAGAAAUUCAGAUUUUACUAAUCGUCUUUUUGGUAUUUUCUUAAGCUUGAGAAAUUAGAAACUACAUAGGCAGACAUUCUGAACAAAGAGAAUUAACAAGACUAGAACACACAUACGUAUAUAUAACUAGUACGUACAAGACACAGGGAAGAAACAAGAUUAUGGACAUAAUACAAUUGUUUCACAUCGCACUCAAACGCACAUAUUCAUAUAUCACAGGUACUUGAGCAACACAGUAACUAAAAUUGAACCAACACGACUACGCAACAAGUGUAGUACUCAAGUGACCAAUUUAACUAAUUAACUCAUACAAGAACAGGGAGUCACAUGCCCCAGAACAAUUCACAUAUGACAGAUUUAACACUACACAAGCAAAAAUCUGAAACUGAACAAACAACUUAGUAGAACAGUACAAAAAUUGAGAGUACAGUAGCAAGAGAAGAGAGAGAUUCAGAGAUUAAUUCUCGGUCAAUCUUUAGGCUUGUAGCUGUAGAUGGUGUAGGUGAUGGAGAAGAUCAGCAGGGAGGCGAGUUGGAGACAAUCUGCAUCAAGAUUAGUAGAGGGAGAGAACAGCAGCGGGGUAAGAGAAAGAAACAAUAGUUUUGGUUCAGAGAAGAGCAAAAGCAAGAGGUGUGGGAGAGAAGAAGCAGCAGGAGCGUUGAGAAAGGAGCAGUAGCAGGUUCGUGGGGAAGGAGCAGCAGCAAAAGGUUCAGAGAAGAGGCAGGGAGCAGCAAGGUAGGCGAAGGGAGCAGCAGCGGGGCUUGGAGAGAGGAGAAGGAGGAGCAGCAGGGGUGCAACAAGAAGAGCAGCGGGGAUGCGGGAAGAAGAAGUAGAAGGGCAGCAGCAGAGUUAGGAGAAGAAGAAAGGUGGAGGAGUGGCAGGGAGAUGCAUGGGCGGCGGCGUGAGGUGAUGAGGCGGCGCUGUGGAUGGUGGUGAAUGGAGGCACAGGGUGAUGGUGGAGGUGAUGGUGGAGGUGUUGGUGGCGCGCUAGGGUACGGUGGUGCUGGUGAUGGAUGGCGCAGAGGCGCACCACCACGCCAGCCUGGCCGUGGCGGCGGCCGGAGGUGAAGAAGAUGUGGUGAGGGGGAGAGAGAUGGAGAUGCCAGGCCCGGAGGGGAUCAAAGGAGAUGGCUAGGGAUUUUG